AGCUGUCUGAAAUGGGGAAGUAGAGAAUUGUGAAGAGAAUUUUCAUUUAAAGGGUCACUCAGCUGGAUACUGGGAGUGUGAAGGCAUGAAGAGCAGGAGGCUGCAAAGGAAAGGUGACAAGCUUUGGCUAGGAGCGUACAGUUCACAUUCUCUCAUGGGCCAGGGCCAGGGGUGGCUUGUUCUUAUUCACGUGGAGUUAAUUGAAAGUAAUUGUCUUGAGUCAACAUCUUACAGUUCUGAUUAGUUUAUAUGACUUAGAAUUCUUUAAAUAGAAUAUAGCUCAAUGUAAACAUAUUUUCUUGUAGAUUUUGUUUGCUUGCCUGUUUGUUUUAGCUGCCCUAGGAGGUGGGGCUAUGAGUGUUUACCACCAGGCCUAAAUCUUACAUCCUUGAAGACUUACAAAACAAAGUUUUGUGGUUUUUUUUUUAAAUUAUUAGAUUUUUAUUUUAUUGGAAGGGAUAAGUUUAUGCCAUAGAACGUGUGUGGAGGUCAAAGGGCAACUUGCAGGCAUCAGUCCUCUUUUGCUUCCACGUGGGGCCUGAAGAUUAAAUUCAGAUUAGGCUUAGCAGCAGGAGCAUUUAGCCACUGAGCCAUCUCUCUAGCAUGCAUAUAAUUAAUUUAAUCUUAGUGCUUUGAAGGAAUCAAGCUUUUUAUACAUGUGAACAACUCAAGCCUUGUGUUAAGUAGGGGUAUAUGCAGAAGUCAAAAGGCCAUCUUAUCCUUAAGUUUACUACAGCCAGACAGUGCCAGCCAGGCUAGCCAAAGCAGUAGGCUUGUGAUUCAGUGAGAGACCCUGUUGCUGCAUGCAGCAUGGCUCUAAGGACAACCUGAUUGGAGUACUAAAGGAAUGAAGGAAAGACAGAUACAAACAGGAAGCUGGGAUCCAGUGGGCUGGGCUCUUGGCUGAAGAAACUGUACCACCCCAGAAUUUCAUGUUUAUUAAUUAUAUAGAGUUGAACAGAGAGGUGAGGUUAUUACAUACAGUUGAGCAAGGAGUUUGGGUUAUUACAUACAGAUAAACAAGGACACGAGUUUAGCUAAUCUUGGUAGGAGCAGUCUCUGUGACAGAGAAGUCUUCAGGCCAUAAAUAUCUUGGGCCAGAAAGCUAUGGUGGACAUUUUCCACAGACACUAUCAACACCCAUACAUGGGUCAGAGGAAAGGCUUUGAGGUUUCUCCAUGGUCUGAGGUUCUAAGCUUGGCAUGGCAGUAACCAUGUCAACAAUGCACAUUCACUCAGGACUCUCUCCGCUUCCUAUACCCUGCCUCAAGGCAAGGAGACAGGCUGUGACAGAGGAAGCCUGCUUUACCGUGUGUAUGCACGUGUGCACUCCUGUGCCUACACUACUUACAUAGGCAUGCACACAGAAGGGCUAAGAGUAUUGUCCGUGGUAGAAUACAUGCUAAUUGUGUACAAGAAACACAGUGAAAGAGAAAGAGGGAAGGAGAGAAAUAAAUUCUUGAGCUCAUAAAAUACAGUGUUUUCUCAAAGC
rnacentral:lncRNA from 1 species